rnacentral:rRNA from 1 species
GUAGGGAAUAUUGCACAAUGGGGGAAACCCUGAUGCAGCGACGCCGCGUGAGUGAUGAAGGCCUUCGGGUCGUAAAGCUCUGUCGUAUGGGACUAACAAAAUGAAGGUACCAUGCAAGAAAGGAUCGGCUAACUUCGUGCCAGCAGCCGCGGUAAGACGAGGGAUCCUAGCGUUGUUCGGAAUUAUUGGGCGUAAAGCGGGUGUAGGCGGGCCUGUCAGUCAGGUGUGAAAUCCCAGGGCUUAAACCUGGAAGUGCACUUGAUACUACAGGUCUUGAGUGUGGUAGAGGCUAUUAGAAUUCUUGGUGUAGUGGUGAAAUACGUAGAUAUCAAGAGGAAUACCGGAGGCGAAGGCGGAUAGCUGGGCCAACACUGACGCUGAGACCCGAAAGCGUGGGGAUCAAACAGGAUUAGAAACCCGAGUAGUCC